rnacentral:lncRNA from 1 species
GUUUUGACAAGCAAAAUCAUUAGUUGCAACUACACUGCAAUUAUAAUUAACUGCAUAUAAAUACAAAUUCGAUAUUUAAUUUGAUAUAUUUAAACUCUUAGGACGUGCUUGGUUCGAAGUCGGAGUCGAAAUCGGAAUCGGAAUCGGAAUCGAAAUCGGAAUCAAAAUAAGCUGGAAUCGGAAUCGGAAUGACUCAUUACCUAAUUCUGUUUGGUUCAUCACCUGAAUCGGAAUCGAAAUAAAUCAUUAACAUUGUCGGUGUUUGGUUCAGGUGGGUAUAAAAAACGUAAUCAAAUUAAUAUACUAACAUUAUCUUUAUAAUAUAUUAAUUUUAAUUCAAAUUAAAAAUUAAAUAAUAAAAAUUUACAUCAAAAAUUUGAAAUAAUGUCAAAAUUUUAAAUCUAUUUUUUUUAAAAAAAAUUAAACUUUGAAGUUGAGUGGAUAAUUCAAAAUAUGAAACUAAAUUUUAAUUUAUUCAAAUUCAAACUUAAAAUUAUAAUUUAAAUUUUAAUUUGAAUCCAUAAAUUUAAUUUAAGUUUGAAAUAAAAUUUGAAUAAAACUUUAUAUAAAUUAAAAUUUAAAUUUAAAUUCAAAUUCAUAAGUUAGAUUCGAGAUACUUGAUUAAAUUUUAAUUUUUUAAUUUAAGUUUAAAUUAAAAUUUAAAAUUAUAUAUUUAAUUUUUAAAUUUUAACUCAUAUUUUAAUUAAAAAAAGUUGAAAAAAUAAAUUUAAUCCGAAUAAAUAUUCAUUCCGUCCAGAUUCAACUUUCAAUUCGACCUCCUAAGCCGGAUUGAAAAGAAAGGUGAUUGGAGAUUCCCAUUCCACUUGGGAAUCGGAAUCGGAAUCGGAAUCGGAAUGGGACUCCCGCGUACCAAACACCCACAAACGGAUUUACCCAUUCUGAUUUCGAUUCCAGGGUGAAAAAGAAGCGAACCAAACACGCCCUUAUAGUAGAAACUGUAGGAGGAGACCCAACUGCAUCAGUUGGAAUUACGUCAAAAUUGACCGUAGUUUCAACUGCAGCAGUUGAAAAGGGUUUGGUGGUUGGUACCCGAGACCUAAGUUCGAAUCCUAGUUGAUUCAUAUUAAUUUCUUCCUAAGUUUAUUUCUAAAUGAAAUAAACGAAGCGAGUAGCGUGCUAUUUAUCUCUCUCUCAAAAAAAAAAGCGGGUAGCGUGCUAUUUAUCUCUCUCUCUCUCUCGAAAAAAAAGAGUAACUUUAAACAAAAGAUAUACUUAUCUCCUUAAUUAUUUUUUAAGCAAAAUUUUUUUUUUUUUCAAUGUUAGAGAUAAUCUCACUAUCAUAUAUGUCUAAAACGAAAAAAUUUUAAAAAUUAUUUGUCAACUACAUGCAGCCAAAUAAAUUAUCUAUAUCCAACUAAAUA